rnacentral:rRNA from 1 species
UACGUAGGUGGCAAGCGUUGUCCGGAAUUAUUGGGCGUAAAGCGCGCGCAGGCGGUUCUUUAAGUUGGGUGUUAAAGGCAGCGGCUCAACCGCUGUUCGCACCCAAAACUGGGGAACUUGAGUGCAGGAGAGGACAGUGGAAUUCCCGGUGUAGCGGUGGAAUGCGUAGAGAUCGGGAGGAACACCAGUGGCGAAGGCGACUGUCUGGUCUGUAACUGACGCUGAGGCGCGAAAGCGUGGGGAGCAAACA